rnacentral:rRNA from 1 species
UACGUAGGGGGCAAGCGUUGUCCGGAAUCAUUGGGCGUAAAGCGCGUGUAGGCGGUUCGGUAAGUCCGCUGUGAAAGUCCAGGGCUCAACCCUGGAACUGCCUUCGAUACUGGCGAUCUUCGAGUCCGGGAGAGGUGAGUGGAACUCCGAGUGUAGAGGUGAAAUUCGUAGAUAUUCGGAAGAACACCAGUGGCGAAGGCGGCUCACUGGCCCGGUACUGACGCUGAGGUGCGAAAGCGUGGGGAGCAAACAGG